rnacentral:rRNA from 1 species
UCAGGACGAACGCUGGCGGCGUGCUUAACACAUGCAAGUCGAACGGGAGUAUUGAAGAAGCUUGCUUAGAGAUACUUUAGUGGCGGACGGGUGAGUAACGCGUGAGGAGCUGUCCUAUGCAGGGGGACAACAGCUGGAAACGGCUGCUAAUACCCCAUAAGCCGAGAGGUAAAAGGAUCAAUCCGGCAGAGGAGGUACUCGCGUCCUAUCAGCUAGUAGGUGAGGUAACGGCUCACCUAGGCGAAGACGGGUAGCCGGCCUGAGAGGGCGAACGGCCACACUGGAACUGAGAUACGGUCCAGACUCCUACGGGAGGCAGCAGUGGGGAAUAUUGGGCAAUGGGGGGAAACCCUGACCCAGCGACGCCGCGUGGGUGAAGAAAUCCUUCGGGAUGUAAAGCCCUGUUGUAUGGGAAGAGCGGAAGACGGUACCAUACGAGGAAGCCCCGGCAAACUACGUGCCAGCCGCCGC